AUUGAACGCUGGCGGCAGGCUUAACACAUGCAAGUCGCACGAGUGGCGGACGGGUGAGUAAUGCUUGGGACACUGGCUUAUGGAGGGGGAUAACUACGGGAAACUGUAGCUACUACCGCAUACCAUAGGAUGAGCCCCAGUGGGAUUAGGUAGUUGGUGAGGUAACGGCUCACCAAGCCGACGAUCUCUAGCUGGUCUGAGAGGAUUACCGGCCACACUGGGACUGAGACACGGCCCAGACUCCUACGGGAGGCAGCAGUGGGGAAUAUUGCGCAAUGGGGGCAAGCCUGACGCAGCCAUGCCGCGGGAAUGAAGAAGGCCUUCGGGUUGUAAAGUACUUUCAGCGGGGAGGCGGUACCCGCAGAAGAAGCACCGGCUAACUCCGUGCCAGCCGCCGCGGUAAUUC
rnacentral:rRNA from 1 species